rnacentral:tRNA from 1 species
GGGGGGUUACUCUAAAUUUAAGACUACUAAUUUCGACUUAGUAAAUUGUGAUUGAUCAUCACAACCCUCCU